rnacentral:rRNA from 1 species
UACGUAGGGUGCAAGCGUUAAUCGGAAUUACUGGGCGUAAAGCGUGCGCAGGCGGUUAUGUAAGACAGAUGUGAAAUGCCCGGGCUUAACCUGGGAACUGCAUUUGUGACUGCAUGGCUAGAGUUUGGCAGAGGGGGGUAGAAUUCCACGUGUAGCAGUGAAAUGCGUAGAUAUCGGAAGGAACAUCAGUGGCGAAAGCGGCUUCCUGGACCAGCACCGACGUUCAGGCACGAAAGCGUGGGGAGCAAACAGG